rnacentral:pre_miRNA from 1 species
UCGACUAUUUUUCUAGUCAAACUUUUUUAAGUUUGACAAGUUUAUAAAAACAAUUAGCGACAUUUGUAAUACAAAACAAACAUACUAUCAAAAUAUAUUUAAUGUUUCAUUUAAUGAAACUAAUUUGAUGUUGUAAAUGUUGCUAAAUUGUUCUAUAAAUUUAGUCAAACUUAAAGGAGUUUGACUAGAAAAAAGUCAAA